rnacentral:rRNA from 1 species
AGUGAACGCUGGCGGUAGGCCUAACACAUGCAAGUCGAACGGCAGCACAGUAAGAGCUUGCUCUUACGGGUGGCGAGUGGCGGACGGGUGAGGAAUACAUCGGAAUCUACUUUUUCGUGGGGGAUAACGUAGGGAAACUUACGCUAUUACCGCAUACGACCUACGGGUGAAAGCAGGGGAUCUUCGGACCUUGCGCGAUUGAAUGAGCCGAUGUCGGAUUCGCUAGUUGGCGGGGGAAAGGCCCACGAAUGCGACGAUCCGUAACUGGGCUGAGAGGAUGAUCAGCCACACUGGAACUGAGACACGGUCCAGACUCCUACGGGAGGCAGCAGUGGGGAAUAUUGGACAAAGGGCGCAAGCCUGAUCCAGCCAUACCGCGUGGGUGAAGAAGGCCUUCGGGUUGUAAAGCCCUUUUGUUGGGAAAGAAAAGCAGCAGGUUAACACCCCGCUGUUCUGACGGUACCCAAAGAAUAAGCACCGGCUAACUUCGUG